rnacentral:rRNA from 1 species
CCUACGGGAGGCUGCAGUGAGGAAUAUUGGUCAAUGGGCGCGAGCCUGAACCAGCCAAGUAGCGUGAAGGAUGACUGCCCUACGGGUUGUAAACUUCUUUUAUAAAGGAAUAAAGUGAGGCACUUUUGCCUUUUUGUAUGUACUUUAUGAAUAAGGAUCGGCUAACUCCGGCCCAGCAGCCGCGGUAAUACGGAGGAUCCGGGCUUUAUCCGGAUUUAUUGGGUUUAAAGGGAGCGUAGAUGGGGUGUUAAGUCAGUUGUGAAAGUUUGCGGCUCAACGGGGAAAUUGCAAUUGAUACUGGCAGUCUUGAGUGCAGUUGAGGUAGGAGGAAUUCGUGGUGUAGCGGUGAAAUGCUUAGAGAUCACGAAGAACACCGAUUGCGAAGGCAGCUUACUAAACUGCCACUGACAUUGAUGCUCGAAAGUGUGGGUAUCAAACAGGAUUAGAUACCCUUGUAGUC